rnacentral:rRNA from 1 species
CAGUAGCCGCGGGAAUACAGAGGGUGCGAGCGUUAAUCGGAUUUACUGGGCGUAAAGCGUGCGUAGGCGGCUUCUUAAGUCGGAUGUGAAAUCCCUGAGCUUAACUUAGGAAUUGCAUUCGAUACUGGGAAGCUAGAGUAUGGGAGAGGAUGGUAGAAUUCCAGGUGUAGCGGUGAAAUGCGUAGAGAUCUGGAGGAAUACCGAUGGCGAAGGCAGCCAUCUGGCCUAAUACUGACGCUGAGGUACGAAAGCAUGGGGAGCAAACAGGAUUAGAUACCCCAGUAGUCCUUGUCUCUAAUAC